rnacentral:tRNA from 1 species
GUUUUUGUGGUUGAAGUACAACAGUGGCUUUUCGAGUCUCAGGUCCUGGUUAGAAUCCGGGCGAAAAUC